GCCCGGGUGGCGAAACUGGUAGACGCAAGGGACUUAAAAUCCCUCGGCCGCAAGGCCGUGCUGGUUCGAAUCCGGCCCCGGGCACCA
rnacentral:tRNA from 1 species